rnacentral:rRNA from 1 species
CUACGAGCCGCUGCAGUGGGGAAUAUUGCACAAUGGGCGCAAGCCUGAUGCAGCCAUGCCGCGUGUAUGAAGAAGGCCUUCGGGUUGUAAAGUACUUUCAGCGGGGAGGAAGGGAGUAAAGUUAAUACCUUUGCUCAUUGACGUUACCCGCAGAAGAAGCACCGGCUAACUCCGUGCCAGCAGCCGCGGUAAUACGGAGGGUGCAAGCGUUAAUCGGAAUUACUGGGCGUAAAGCGCACGCAGGCGGUUUGUUAAGUCAGAGGUGAAAUCCCCGGGCUCAACCUGGGAACUGCAUCUGAUACUGGCAAGCUUGAGUCUCGUAGAGGGGGGUAGAAUUCCAGGUGUAGCGGUGAAAUGCGUAGAGAUCUGGAGGAAUACCGGUGGCGAAGGCGGCCCCCUGGACGAAGACUGACGCUCAGGUGCGAAAGCGUGGGGAGCAAACAGGAUUAGAUACCCUAGUAGUC